CUCCGGGGAUAACAGGCUUAUUCCUCCCAAGAGUCCACAUCGACGGAGGAGUUUGGCACCUCGAUGUCGGCUCAUCACAUCCUGGGGCUGUAGCAGGUCCCAAGGGUUCGGCUGUUCGCCGAUUAAAGUGGUACGCGAGCUGGGUUCAAAACGUAGACAACACUGCGUUGCCAGGAAGUAAUUCCUGGAACAAUUUAACUGGCUCAUAUCGGUGGAGCCCUCCUGGAGUUGCAAACUGACUCCAAAGGGUAAUACCGAGGGAAGGCUGGUAACGAUGGAUCCUACAAUCCUUGCUUAUAUCGCAGGAUUCCUGGACGGUGAUGGCAGCAUCUUCUUUCAACUGAUCCGAAAGAAGGACUACUGCCUCGGAUUCCAGAUCAGGACGUCAGUCGCUUUCUAUCAGAAGACUGAGAAUGAACAGAUUCUCCUCUGGCUGAAAGCGCAGUUCUUAUCCGGGUACAUCCGACGCCGGAAGACAGGCAUCAGUGAUUACACGAUUGUAGAGCCUCAGGAAGUCCGCAGGAUUUUGGAGCUGGUGCAACCUUACGUGCGACUCAAGCAGGAGCACGUGAGACUCGGCCUCGAAAUUCUCGACAAGCUUCCCUUGGCUGGCGAUGCAACACGAUUGAUGGCGUUGUGUCAGCUGGUCGAUCGGUUUCGGGAUCUCAACUACUCAAAGAAGAGAACGGUCACUUCUGAGAGUGUUGAAGCACACCUGAAAUCACAUGGUUACCUUGCCCCUGUAGAGACUGAUCCAAUCAGGAGAGAGUCGCUGGGAUGAACAGCGGCUAAGACGCCAGUCCCCUCGGUUUAGUACGAGAGGACCGGGAUGGACGCACCUCUGGUGUUCCGGUUGUCACGCCAGUGGCACUGCCGGGUAGCUAUGUGCGGACGGGAUAACCGCUGAAAGCAUCUAAGCGGGAAGCCCCCCCCAAGAUUAGAUCUCCCUGGGAGCUCGACUCCCCUGAAGGGCCCACGAAGACUACGUGGUUGAUAGGCUGGGUGUGUACGGCCAGUAAUGGCUUCAGCUAACCAGUACUAAUUGCCCGUGAGGCUUGACCAUAUAACCUCAAGUGGUUUGG
rnacentral:rRNA from 1 species